rnacentral:rRNA from 1 species
UACGUAGGUGGCAAGCGUUGUCCGGAUUUACUGGGCGUAAAAGAGCGCGCAGGCGGUCGUGCAAAGUCGCGUGUGAAAGCCCCUGGCUCAACUGGGGAGGGUCACGCGAUACUGCUCGACUCGAAGGCAGGAGAGGGAAGUGGAAUUCCCGGUGUAGUGGUGAAAUGCGUAGAUAUCGGGAGGAACACCAGUGGCGAAGGCGACUUCCUGGCCUGUUCUUGACGCUGAGGCGCGAAAGCUAGGGUAGCAAACGGG